rnacentral:rRNA from 1 species
GUGGGGAAUCUUGCGCAAUGGGCGAAAGCCUGACGCAGCCAUGCCGCGUGAAUGAUGAAGGUCUUAGGAUUGUAAAAUUCUUUCACCGGGGACGAUAAUGACGGUACCCGGAGAAGAAGCUCCGGCUAACUUCGUGCCAGCAGCCGCGGUAAUACGAAGGGGGCUAGCGUUGCUCAGAAUUACUGGGCGUAAAGGGCGCGUAGGCGGACAGCUUAGUCAGAGGUGAAAGCCCAGGGCUCAACCUUGGAAUUGCCUUUGAUACUGGCUGUCUUGAGUUUGGGAGAGGUGAGUGGAACUCCGAGUGUAGAGGUGAAAUUCGUAGAUAUUCGGAAGAACACCAGUGGCGAAGGCGACUCACUGGCCCAAUACUGACGCUGAGGCGCGAAAGCGUGGGGAGCAAACAGGAUUAGAUACCCGUGUAGUCC